rnacentral:lncRNA from 1 species
CUAACUCUGCCAUUUGCCCGCUGUGCAUCGCCCAGCAAGUCACUCAACACCUCUGAGCCUUUGCUGCACCCUCUGUAAGACAUGCCUAACUCUAAACAGAGGUAGGGGUAAAAUCAUCUAAGAAAAUCCAGGGUCAGAGGAGUGGAGACUGAAGAGGAGAGCCCUUGUUGUGAGCAGCGAGCGGCUGGCAGGAAAUGCCACCUGAGCCAGCAGCCAGACCCUGCCUGGCAGGUACCACGAGGCCUGUUCCCUGGCACAGAAGCCAGAAAGCCAGUGGAAGUAGAGAGGAGUUCCAUUGUCCUGGAGCUUGGCUGUC